rnacentral:hammerhead_ribozyme from 1 species
ACUCAUCUGACGAGUCCCAAAUAGGACGAAACGCGUGUCCUGGAU